GGGAAGCGAGUGGAUCCCUUCGGGGUGAAGCUCGUGGAACGAGCGGCGGACGGGUGAGUAACACGUGGGCAACCUGCCUGUAAGACCGGAAUAACCCCGGGAAACCGGGGCUAAUGCCGGGUAAUACUUUUCUUCGCAUGAAGGAAAGUUGAAAGAUGGCUUCUUGCUAUCACUUACAGAUGGGCCCGCGGCGCAUUAGCUAGUUGGUGAGGUAACGGCUCACCAAGGCGACGAUGCGUAGCCGACCUGAGAGGGUGAUCGGCCACACUGGGACUGAGACACGGCCCAGACUCCUACGGGAGGCAGCAGUAGGGAAUCUUCCGCAAUGGACGAAAGUCUGACGGAGCAACGCCGCGUGAACGAUGAAGGUCUUCGGAUCGUAAAGUUCUGUUGUUAGGGAAGAACAAGUACCGUGCGAAUAGAGCGGUACCUUGACGGUACCUAACGAGGAAGCCCCGGCUAACUACGUGCCAGCAGCCGCGGUAAUACGUAGGGGGCAAGCGUUGUCCGGAAUUAUUGGGCGUAAAGCGCGCGCAGGCGGUUCCUUAAGUCUGAUGUGAAAGCCCACGGCUCAACCGUGGAGGGUCAUUGGAAACUGGGGAACUUGAGGACAGAAGAGGAGAGUGGAAUUCCACGUGUAGCGGUGAAAUGCGUAGAUAUGUGGAGGAACACCAGUGGCGAAGGCGACUCU
rnacentral:rRNA from 1 species